rnacentral:tRNA from 1 species
GCGAGUCGGAACGACACGCCCGGGACGCGCGGUUCCCGUCACCAACCAGAAGGUUGGGGGUUCGAGUCCCUCCGGGCGCG